CCCUGCCAUUUGUACACACCGCCCGUCGCACCUACCGAUUGGAUGGUCCGGUGAAGCCUCGGGAUAGUGACUGUUGCCUUGAUUGGUGGUGGUUGCAAGAACUUGUCUAAACCUUAUCAUCUAGAGGA
rnacentral:rRNA from 1 species